AUUGAACGCUGGCGGCAUGCUUUACACAUGCAAGUCGAACGGCAGCGGGGUAGUGCUUGCACUACUGCCGGCGAGUGGCGAACGGGUGAGUAAUAUAUCGGAACGUACCGAGUAAUGAGGGAUAACCAAUCGAAAGAUUGGCUAAUACCGCAUACGUCCUGAGGGAGAAAGCGGGGGAUCGCAAGACCUCGCGUUAUUCGAGCGGCCGAUAACUGAUUAGCUAGUUGGUGGGGUAAAGGCCUACCAAGGCGACGAUCAGUAGCGGGUCUGAGAGGACGAUCCGCCACACUGGGACUGAGACACGGCCCAGACUCCUACGGGAGGCAGCAGUGGGGAAUUUUGGACAAUGGGGGCAACCCUGAUCCAGCCAUGCCGCGUGUAUGAAGAAGGCCUUCGGGUUGUAAAGUACUUUUGUUAGGGAAGAAAAGGGAAGUGCUAAUACCACUUUUUGCUGACGGUACCUAAAGAAUAAGCACCGGCUAACUACGUG
rnacentral:rRNA from 1 species